UACGUAGGGUGCAAGCGUUGUCCGGAAUUACUGGGCGUAAAGGGCGCGUAGGCGGCCUGACAAGUGGAUGGUGAAAUCCCUCGGCUUAACCGAGGAACUGCCAUCCAGACUGUUUGGCUUGAGACCGGGAGAGGUGAGUGGAAUUCCCAGUGUAGCGGUGAAAUGCGUAGAUAUUGGGAGGAACACCAGUGGCGAAGGCGGCUCACUGGACCGGUACUGACGCUGGGACACGAAAGCGUGGGGAGCAAACAGG
rnacentral:rRNA from 1 species